rnacentral:rRNA from 1 species
GCUUAACCGAAGAAGUGCAUCGGAAACUGGGAGACUUGAGUGCAGAAGAGGACAGUGGAACUCCAUGUGUAGCGGUGGAAUGCGUAGAUAUAUGGAAGAACACCAGUGGCGAAGGCGGCUGUCUAGUCUGUAACUGACGCUGAGGCUCGAAAGCAUGGGUAGCGAACAGGAUUAGAUACCCUGGUAGUCCAUGCCGUAAACGAUGAGUGCUAAGUGUUGGAGGGUUUCCGCCCUUCAGUGCUGCAGCUAACGCAUUAAGCACUCCGCCUGGGGAGUACGACCGCAAGGUUGAAACUCAAAGGAAUUGACGGGGGCCCGCACAAGCGGUGGAGCAUGUGGUUUAAUUCGAAGCUACGCGAAGAACCUUACCAGGUCUUGACAUCUUCUGCCAAUCUAAGAGAUUAGACGUUCCCUUCGGGGACAGAAUGACAGGUGGUGCAUGGUUGUCGUCAGCUCGUGUCGUGAGAUGUUGGGUUAAGUCCCGCAACGAGCGCAACCCUUAUUAUCAGUUGCCAGCAUUCAGUUGGGCACUCUGGUGAGACUGCCGGUGACAAACCGGAGGAAGGUGGGGAUGACGUCAAAUCAUCAUGCCCCUUAUGACCUGGGGCUACACACGUGCUACAAUGGACGGUACAACG